GAGCUUUGGCAGCACAUAUACUAAAAUUGGAACGAUACAGAGAAGAUUAGCAUGGCCCUUGCACAAAAAUGACACACAGAUUUGUGAAGAAAGAGAGACAGAC